rnacentral:rRNA from 1 species
AGAGUUUGAUCCUGGCUCAGAUUGAACGCUGGCGGCAGGCUUAACACAUGCAAGUCGAGCGGAAACGAUCCUAGCUUGCUAGGAGGCGUCGAGCGGCGGACGGGUGAGUAAUGCAUGGGAAUCUGCCCGAUAGUGGGGGACAACCUGGGGAAACUCAGGCUAAUACCGCAUACGUCCUACGGGAGAAAGCAGGGGAUCUUCGGACCUUGCGCUAUCGGAUGAGCCCAUGUCGGAUUAGCUUGUUGGUGAGGUAAUGGCUCACCAAGGCGACGAUCCGUAGCUGGUCUGAGAGGAUGAUCAGCCACACUAGGACUGAGACACGGCCCAGACUCCUACGGGAGGCAGCAGUGGGGAAUAUUGGACAAUGGGCGAAAGCCUGAUCCAGCCAUGCCGCGUGUGUGAAGAAGGCCUUCGGGUUGUAAAGCACUUUCAGCGAGGAAGAACGCCUUGGGACUAAUACUCCCGAGGAAAGACAUCACUCGCAGAAGAAGCACCGGCUAACUCCGUGCCAGCAGCCGCGGUAAUACGGAGGGUGCAAGCGUUAAUCGGAAUUACUGGGCGUAAAGCGCGCGUAGGUGGCUAAGUCAGCCAGGUGUGAAAGCCCCGGGCUCAACCUGGGAACGGCAUCUGGAACUGCUUGGCUAGAGUGCAGGAGAGGAAGGUAGAAUUCCCGGUGUAGCGGUGAAAUGCGUAGAGAUCGGGAGGAAUACCAGUGGCGAAGGCGGCCUUCUGGACUGACACUGACACUGAGGUGCGAAAGCGUGGGUAGCAAACAGGAUUAGAUACCCUGGUAGUCCACGCCGUAAACGAUGUCAACUAGCCGUUGGGUCCCUUGAGGACUUAGUGGCGCAGCUAACGCAAUAAGUUGACCGCCUGGGGAGUACGGCCGCAAGGUUAAAACUCAAAUGAAUUUGACUGGGGCCCGCACAAGCGGUGGAGCAUGUGGUUUAAUUCGAUGCACGCGAGACCUUACCUACCCUGACAUCCAGAGGACUUUCCAGAGAUGGAUGUGCUCGUACCUCUGAGACAGUGCUGCAUGGCUGUCGUCAGCUCGGUUGGCAUGUUGGUUAGUUCGGUACGAGCCACCAUUCCUAUCUGCAGCAUAUGUCGACCUAGGACGCAGGUACAUCGAAGAAGUGGGACGAC